rnacentral:rRNA from 1 species
GACGAACGCUGGCGGCGUGCUUAACACAUGCAAGUCGAACGGAAAGGCCCUGCUUUUGUGGGGUGCUCGAGUGGCGAACGGGUGAGUAACACGUGAGUAACCUGCCCUUGACUUUGGGAUAACUUCAGGAAACUGGGGCUAAUACCGGAUAGGAGCUCCUGCUGCAUGGUGGGGGUUGGAAAGUUUCGGCGGUUGGGGAUGGACUCGCGGCUUAUCAGCUUGUUGGUGGGGUAGUGGCUUACCAAGGCUUUGACGGGUAGCCGGCCUGGGAGGGGGACCGGCCACAUUGGGACUGAGAUACGGCCCAGACUCCUACGGGAGGCAGAAGUGGGGAAUAUUGCACAAUGAGCGGGAGCCUGAUGCAGCAACGCCGCGUGCGGGAUGACGGCCUUCGGGUUGUAAACCGCUUUCGCCUGUGACGAAGCGUGAGUGACGGUAAUGGGUAAAGAAGCACCGGCUAACUACGUG